rnacentral:tRNA from 1 species
GCGAGGAUGGUGGAACUGGCAGACACGCUAGACUUAGGAUCUAGUGCUUCGGCGUGAGGGUUCAACUCCCUCUCCUCGCACCA